UACGAAGGGGGCUAGCGUUGCUCGGAAUUACUGGGCGUAAAGGGCGCGUAGGUGGCUCUGCACGUUCGUUGUGAAAUCGCCCGGCUCAACUGGGCGGGGUCAGCGGAUACGGCAGAGCUUGAGCAAGCUAGGGGGCAAUGGAAUUCCCGGUGUAGUGGUGGAAUGCGUAGAUAUCGGGAGGAACACCAGUGGCGAAGGCGGUUACCUGGGGCUUUGCUGACGCUGAUGCGCGAAAGCGUGGGGAGCGAGUCCGG
rnacentral:rRNA from 1 species